rnacentral:lncRNA from 1 species
GACGCGAAUGACGCGAUGACCGCUCUCAGGUUCCUCUCUGGUUGUAGAAGAGAGAGGAGAAAAAGCACGAAAUGCAAUUAGAAAAACAAGUGUUAUUUUUAUUCAUUAUCAACCUACACUACACUAUACCUUUUUAAAAUGAGAUGCAUAUGCGUUAGAUGCCGGAGAGAAAAGGAAAAAGGUAGUUGAAGAAACGAAAAUAUAAAGUCGAAAGGUUAGGUUAGGUUGUCGCAAAAAUUUACAACCUUGGAAUAUUGAUAGAAGGUAUUUUCUGUAUGAUUUUUAUUUAUGAGAAAUACAAGUCUGCCGUACCCAUCCGGUAGCGAUGCCGCGAACUGCUUGCAAGUUUUCAAAACCAUUUCAGAGUUUCUUUUCUUUCAAAAUACGGAGGUACGAUGGAUAUAUUUUAAACGCGCGGUAAUUGACGCGAUACAUGCAUUGUCUCUUGCGAAAAUAUAUGUACAGAUAAAGAGAGAUGUAAAACAGUAAUAAUAUAUAAAAAUCGAUAACAAUGUUAA